AUGUAUUUAUUUCUUCAUCGAUUUUGCUUUGCAUGUUUUCUUAAUACAAAUACAGAUGCCACCUAAAGAAAGUCAAAGCACGUGUUACCCAUAGCAUCUGCGACUCCUCGAAGCUCUAGCAAUGGAGCCUAUCUCCUUGUCAACAAGGAGAGCACUCUAAUCAAUUACACAUUCCUAUUUCGACACCUUCUAUAGCUCAAUCAGGUAUAAAUAGGACUACUCAAUCUAGUAUAGAUCCUACUGAUUUUGUGGAUACCGCUGAGCAAGGGUCGUCCAAUGGUAUGUAUUUAAUGAUUUUUAAGAUAAUGUGGACUGACUCUUCAUAUUAAACAAUAUUAAUUAUCUUUAAAUAUCUUUUAGGUUCUCUUCAUAAAAAAAGCGAGGAAUUAGUCGUGGUUUGGCAUCUCAGAAAAUAAUGGAUGCUAGUAAGAAAAAAUUAGUUGUACAAGCCAGGGAAGGAGAUAUGCAUAUUUCGGUGAGACAUUCUCGCCAUUUGCUAAUGAGAUUGGUAUCAUUAUGCGAAACAUUAUUUCGUAACACUUGACUGGUUGGAGUCAAGCAACUCCUCAUGAUAGAAAAUUAGCCUAUAAUCGUCUUCUUGUAAGUAAAUUUUGUAAUUCAUUUGGAUUAUGCGUAAUACUAUAAUCACUGAAGUCUUAUUUUCUCUACGUUCAGGGAAAAUUUGAUGUUGAUUUAAAUGAUCAACAGAUAGUUGAAAUUGUUGAAAGACAUUGUCUUGAGAGAUACAAAGAACACAGAAGUGCAUGUAAUAAAAAAUAUAAACAAUUAAAAUUGGAUGAAAAAGAUCCACUACAAUGUAGGCCAUCAACUGUUAAAUCACAAGAGGAUUGGGAAUGGAUGUGUGCACAUUUUAAAAGUGAUAAGCUUUUGGUAUGUUAAGUUAUUAUACUACUUAAAGUUGAAUGAAUGAGAUGCCAAAUUACACUUUGAGAUAUUGUGGUUGGUUUUAAGAAACGAUCUGCAGCUGGGAAACUCAAUCGUUCGAAGCUUCUUUAUAGUCGCCAUGGAGGGACUAGAUCAUUUACCGCAACUAGGGAAGCACUGGUAAUCUAAUAGACUUAAUCUCUUGCACUUUUAUUCAGUAGUUUUUAUUAAACAUGUUGACUUCUAGAAUAAGUAUUGCUAUUAAAGUUGGUUGGUUAAAUAGCAUUCAAUUUUCUUAAGCUGAAAUGUGUUUUAUUAAUUGUUGUUAAUAUAUAUCACUAGUCUGCUCAUCAUUGCUCACUAUGUUAGAAUUAUAACCCUUUGGACUUAAAUGAUGAAUUAGGUAUUUUUCCCCUAAUUUAGGCUUGAGUAUGAGGCUUAAUAUUUUAAAUUUGCUUCCUUUAGUUGAAAUAGGAAUAAUUAAAUGUCCAUUGGUUGAUCCGACGUAAUUAUCUCGUGUUUAGUUUUACUAGACUAUUUCAACUUCUAAGUACGCUUCAUAAAAUACAUAUUUAGAAAGUAGACCUGAUUUCUGAAAAUGAUGAAAUUAGUUUUUUUUUUUUUUUUAAAAGGUUGUCAUUUGAAUGUUGGCUGACUUCUAGAAGGAGUAUUAACAUGUUUUAUAUCCCUUGACUGUCAUUAAAUGUUGUUGAAAUGUUACUGGAUAUGCUUUUCAGUCCCUGAUGCCAUAGUUAUAUGGAAUAGUUUUAGUUGAAUUUAAACUUCGACAAGCUUUAUACUCUUCACUACUUUGGCGAUUUGCUAAUUUGACUAUAUUAUGACAUGUUGAGGUUAUCAAUUAUUUGCUAAUUUGACUAUAUUAGGACAUUUUCUCCAACUUUUUCAAUCUACAAAUGAAGAAUUAAUUGGACAUAUUGAGUUGUUUAGGAGGAUGCAUUCCACAUCAAAAUGAUGGGAUAACCAACUAGCCUAGUCUCGAUAUGUAAGAUAUAUCAUUUAUUACACAAAGAUCUUAACAUUAAUAUUAUUUAUUUUAACAUUUUUCUAUUGUAUGCAAAAAGAAAUGGUGGAGUUACAACAAUCACAAGCAGAGAUUGAAGAUUAAGCAUCUAUAAUGGAUGAAGCAGAAAUAUGUGCUCGAGUUCUUGGUAAGAGUGAUGGGACUAUUUCUGGAAUUGGACCCGCUCUACGCAAAUCAUACAGCAACACAGUUACGGCUCCCCCUAAAUUGAUGCAAUAGUUGGAAAUUCUUACAAAACAAGACAAAGAGAAGGAUAAAGCUAUUAGUGAGCUUACACAAAGUCUCAAACAAUAAGUGUUACUUAUCCAGAGCCUUGUUAUACGAAUGGAUAUGAGUCAGCAUCCUCCAACUAAACCAACCAAUGAUCCAUCUCCAUCAUCUCCACCAGCACCAUCAGCGUGCAGUACUAUGAUUACAUUAUUGAAGUUACAAUUUAUCUUUUUGUGGUUAGAUAUUAGACAUUUAUGAUUAUGCAUUGACUAUUAGUAGUUAUCUACGAAAAACAAUUUUCUUUUGUAGCAACAUAUUUUUUGUUAAAUUUAAUAUUCUAUAGCUUUCGAUAUUGUUAAAUUAGUAAUUGUGAUGGUUGAAAACUGAAAUAUUGGACAAAUUAUUAUCAGG
rnacentral:lncRNA from 1 species